UACGAAGGGGCUAGCGUUGUUCGGAUUUACUGGGCGUAAAGCGCACGUAGGCGGAUCGAUCAGUCAGGGGUGAAAUCCCAGAGCCCAACUCUGGAACUGCCUUUGAUACUGUCGAUCUGGAGUAUGGAAGAGGUGAGUGGAAUUCCGAGUGUAGAGGUGAAAUUCGUAGAUAUUCGCAAGAACACCAGUGGCGAAGGCGGCUCACUGGCCCGAUACUGACGCUGAGGUGCGAAAGCGUGGGGAGCAAACAGG
rnacentral:rRNA from 1 species